rnacentral:rRNA from 1 species
AUUGAACGCUGGCGGCAUGCCUUACACAUGCAAGUCGAACGGUAACAGGCCGCAAGGUGCUGACGAGUGGCGAACGGGUGAGUAAUGCAUCGGAACGUGCCCAGUCGUGGGGGAUAACUGCUCGAAAGAGCAGCUAAUACCGCAUACGACCUGAGGGUGAAAGCGGGGGACCGUAAGGCCUCGCCCGAUUGGAGCGGCCGAUGUCAGAUUAGCUAGUUGGUGGGGUAAAGGCCUACCAAGGCAACGAUCUGUAGUUGGUCUGAGAGGACGACCAGCCACACUGGGACUGAGACACGGCCCAGACUCCUACGGGAGGCAGCAGUGGGGAAUUUUGGACAAUGGGCGCAAGCCUGAUCCAGCAAUGCCGCGUGCAGGAAGAAGGCCUUCGGGUUGUAAACUGCUUUUGUCAGGGAAGAAAUCUUCUGGGCUAAUACCCCGGGAGGAUGACGGUACCUGAAGAAUAAGCACCGGCUAACUACGUGCCAGCAGCCGCGGUAAUAC